rnacentral:rRNA from 1 species
GAUGAACGCUGGCGGCGUGCCUAAUACAUGCAAGUCGAGCGAACAGAUGAGGAGCUUGCUCCUCUGACGUUAGCGGCGGACGGGUGAGUAACACGUGGAUAACCUACCUAUAAGACUGGGAUAACUUCGGGAAACCGGAGCUAAUACCGGAUAAUAUAUUGAACCGCAUGGUUCAAUAGUGAAAGACGGUUUUGCUGUCACUUAUAGAUGGAUCCGCGCCGCAUUAGCUGGUUGGUAAGGUAACGGCUUACCAAGGCAACGAUGCGUAGCCGACCUGAGAGGGGGGUCGCCCGCACGAGAGCGGAGACACGGUCAGGACUCCUGCGGGAGGCACCAGAAGGGAAUCUUCCGCAAUGGGCGAAAGCCUUACGGAGCAGCGCCGCGUGAGAGAUAAAGGUGUUGGGAUCGUAAAACUCUGUUAUGAGGGAAAAACAAAUGUGUAAGUAAAUAUACACGUAGUGACGGUAACUAAUCAAAAAGCAACGGCUAACUACGUG